rnacentral:rRNA from 1 species
AGUGGCGCACGGGUGCGUAACACGUAUGCAAUCUGCCCCUAACAGGGGAAUAGCCCGGCGAAAGUCGGAUUAAUACCCCAUAACAAUGUGAAUCGGCAUCGGUUUAUAUUUAAAGCUCCGGCGGUUAGGGAUGAGCAUGCGCGACAUUAGCUAGAUGGCGGGGUAACGGCCCACCAUGGCUACGAUGUCUAGGGGGUCUGAGAGGAUUUUCCCCCACACUGGUACUGAGACACGGACCAGACUCCUACGGGAGGCAGCAGUAGGGAAUAUUGGGCAAUGGACGCAAGUCUGACCCAGCCAUGCCGCGUGAAGGACGAAGGCCCUAUGGGUUGUAAACUUCUUUUGUACGGGAAGAAACCCCUCUACGUGUAGGGGGCUGACGGUACCGUAAGAAUAAGGAUCGGCUAACUCCGUGCCAGCAGCCGCGGUAAUACGGAGGAUCCAAGCGUUGUCCGGAUUUAUUGGGUUUAAAGGGUGCGUAGGCGGAUUACUAAGUCAGAGGUGAAAGUUUGCAGCUUAACUGUAAAAUUGCCUUUGAAACUGGUAGUUUUGAGUAUAGUUGAGGUGGGCGGAAUGUGUCAUGUAGCGGUGAAAUGCUUAGAUAUGAUACAGAACACCGAUUGCGAAGGCAGCUCACUAAACUGUAACUGACGCUGAGGCACGAAAGCGUGGGGAGCAAACAGGAUUAGAUACCCUGGUAGUCCACGCCCUAAACGUUGAAUACUCGUUGUUGGCG